rnacentral:rRNA from 1 species
GCCAGACUCCUACGGGAGGCAGCAGUCGGGAAUAUUGCACAAUGGAGGAAACUCUGAUGCAGUGACACCGCGUAUAGGAAGAAGGUUUUCGGAUUGUAAACUAUUUUAGACAGGGAAGAAAAAAGACAGUACCUGUAGAAUAAGCACCGGCUAACUACAUGCCAGCAGCCGCGGUAAAACGUAGGGUGCAAGCGUUGUCCGGAAUUACUGGGUGUAAAGGGAGCGCAGGCGGAUUGACAAGUUGGGAGUGAAAACUACGGGCUCAACCCGUAACCUGCUUUCAAAACUGUCAGUCUUGAGUGGUGUAGAGGUAGGCGGAAUUCCCGGUGUAGCGGUGGAAUGCGUAGAUAUCGGGAGGAACACCAGUGGCGAAGGCGGCCUACUGGGCACUAACUGACGCUGAGGCUCGAAAGCAUGGGUAGCAAACAGGAUUAGAUACCCCAGUA